CUGGUCCUACCCAGACAUUAAAGUCAGGGAAACCUCCUGGUCCUACCCAGACAUUAUAGACAGGAAAACCUCCUGGUCCUACCCAGACAUUAAAGACAGGGAUACCUCCUGGUCCUACUCAGACUGUACACAAAGAGAAGGCCAGAGGAGAUUAUACUUUAGACCAGCUGCACCACCUGGUGGCCGCGAGUGUACGUUACCCUGGUUACCAACUCCUUUCUAUCCGAUGGCUGUCAAACAGGCCGGUGACCAACGAGAGUUACAGUAGAGUCCUAGUGACUAAUGAGAGUUUAGUAGGGUCACCCACAUAAAAACUGGGGCUGUGUCCGACAUGGCACCCUAUUCCCUACAGUAUGUAUUGCACAUAAAACUAUCUGUGCCAUUAUACCGUCUGUAACAGCAUGGGCAGCACCAUUGAGGCUACAACUCAUAGGAAUCCCCACCCAGUUGACUACUUUGACUACUUUAAAAUGGCGUAAGCCCUCAAUGGCACUGUCUAUGUUAAAACGGCCUUUUGGCCACUAGAGGCCUCUAUCAUUCUCUAUGGUGGUGAACUAAUUGGGUUCUGUUUUAGAUGUAUUUACCACCAGAGGCCUCUAUCAUUCUCUAUGGUGGUGAACUAAUUGGGUUCUGUUUUAGAUGUAGUUUACCACCAGAGGCCUCUAUCAUUCUCUAUGAUAGUUACUGUUUUAGAUGUAGUUUACCACUAGAAGGUGGUGAUGGGCUGUACCAAUGUUAUUUCCAAUUUUUGUAUCAAGACCAAAUAUGUGUGUGUCCGUGUGUUACUCACUUCAUUUCGUCAGUGCUUCUGUGUGUGUUUUUGUGUGUUUAUAUACAGUGAGCACCAAAAGUAUUGGGACAGUGACACAUUAUAUGUAAAUAAGAAUUUGUUCUUAACUGACUUGCGUAGUUAAAUAAAGGUUAAAUAAAUAAAAAAAAUAUUUGUUGUUUUGGCUCUGUACUCCAGCACUUUGGAUUUGAAAUCAAACAAUGACUAUGGGGUUAAAGUGCUGACUGUCAGCUUUAAUUUGAAGGUAAUCUUCAUCCAAAGCGGGCGAACCAUUUAGAAAUUAUAGCAUUUUGUUGUACAUAGUACCCCUCCAUUUUAGAGGACCAAAAGUAUUGGGACAAAUUCACACUUAUAU
rnacentral:lncRNA from 1 species